rnacentral:lncRNA from 1 species
CCUACAGUGCAGAGCUGCAUACAGAAAGGACCCGGCCUGCCUCAUGACUCCUGUGAAGGGCUCUGGAGACGGGGAUUUUCAGCAGGGAUUAAUCCACAUUGACAGCGCAGGGGUUGCAUAUAAAGUCAACUUGCAAAAGUGCACAAGGUUGGAUAUGUCUGGCUUCGAAGCCUGCGUUGUUGUCUAUUGCUGCAAACCGCAAAUGCACUGCACUGAGAACCAGAGAGAGACAAAGUGGUCAAGCACAUUUCCCACACUUUGGUGGACUGGACAUUGCUAGCAAGGAGGGAGCUGCUGACCCAGAUGGCUGGAAAGAGUUAGAGCCCCACAUUCCUCCACCCUCAGGACUCCACUGUCCUUCCCUCCCAGCCACACUCGCAGUUCCUGAGCUGGUAUACACACGCUCCUGUCACGCAAGCCACACUGGAGCUUCAGUUUGUCAAAUCCCUCAUGGUCUGUAAUCAGAGCUUCCAUUUCCCAAGGUUUGAAGCGCAUCCUCCCUUCAUCUGCAUGUUCUAAACUCAGUUAAAUACCAUUUUUAAGAAUGCUAAUAGGAAUUCCUAGUUUGCAAGAAACGUUUCUGAUUUUACAUUUCAUUGCUCCCUGGAUUGUUCCCUAUGUGUUCAUUUGUAAUCAUUUUGCUUAACGUUUUGUCUCUAAUAGGUCAUAGGUCUUACG